rnacentral:misc_RNA from 1 species
AAGUCGUAACAAGGUUUCCGUAGGUGAACCUGCGGAAGGAUCAUUAAAGAAUAUCUCGAGCCUCACAGCUCUUAUUCUCACCCUUUGUAUACCAAACUUUGUUGCCUUGGCAGCGCCUUUAGGGCCUGCCAGAGGACCAAACUCUGUAAUUUAAUGCCGUCUGAGUACUACGAAAAUAGUUAAAA